rnacentral:rRNA from 1 species
GAUUUAUUGGGUUUAAGGGAGCGUAGGUGGAUUGUUAAGUCAGUUGUGAAAGUUUGCGGCUCAACCGUAAAAUUGCAGUUGAAACUGGCAGUCUUGAGUACAGUAGAGGUGGGCGGAAUUCGUGGUGUAGCGGUGAAAUGCUUAGAUAUCACGAAGAACUCCGAUUGCGAAGGCAGCUCACUAGACUGUCACUGACACUGAUGCUCGAAAGUGUGGGUAUCAAACAGGAUUAGAUACCCUGGUAGUCCACACAGUAAACGAUGAAUACUCGCUGUUUGCGAUAUACAGUAAGCGGCCAAGCGAAAGCAUUAAGUAUUCCACCUGGGGAGUACGCCGGCAACGGUGAAACUCAAAGGAAUUGACGGGGGCCCGCACAAGCGGAGGAACAUGUGGUUUAAUUCGAUGAUACGCGAGGAACCUUACCCGGGCUUAAAUUGCAUUUGAAUAUGUAGGAAACUAUAUAGCCGCAAGGCAAAUGUGAAGGUGCUGCAUGGUUGUCGUCAGCUCGUGCCGUGAGGUGUCGGCUUAAGUGCCAUAACGAGCGCAACCCUUAUCUUCAGUUACUAACAGGUCAUGCUGAGGACUCUGGAGAGACUGCCGUCGUAAGAUGUGAGGAAGGUGGGGAUGACGUCAAAUCAGCACGGCCCUUACGUCCGGGGCUACACACGUGUUACAAUGGGGGGUACAGAAGGCAGCUACCUGGUGACAGGAUGCUAAUCCCAAAAACCUCUCUCAGUUCGGAUCGAAGUCUGCAACCCGACUUCGUGAAGCUGGAUUCGCUAGUAAUCGCGCAUCAGCCAUGGCGCGGUGAAUACGUUCCCGGGCCUUGUACACACCGCCCGUCAAGCCAUGAAAGCCGGGGGUACCU